rnacentral:rRNA from 1 species
ACGCUCGACACCUACGGGGGCAGCAGUGGGGAAUAUUGCACAAUGGGGGAAACCCUGAUGCAGCAACGCCGCGUGAAGGAAGACGGUUUUCGGAUUGUAAACUUCUGUUCUUAGUGAAGAUAGUGACGGUAGCUAAGGAGCAAGCCACGGCUAACUACGUGCCAGUAGCCGCGGUAAUCUGAGCGGGCGUGGCAAGGC